AUUGAACGCUGGCGGCAUGCCUUACACAUGCAAGUCGAACGGCAGCGGGGGAGAAGCUUGCUUCUCCUGCCGGCGAGUGGCAAACGGGUGAGUAAUACAUCGGAACGUGCCCUGUAGUGGGGGAUAACUAGUCGAAAGAUUAGCUAAUACCGCAUACGACCUGAGGGUGAAAGUGGGGGACCGCAAGGCCUCAUGCUAUAGGAGCGGCCGAUGUCUGAUUAGCUAGUUGGUGGGGUAAAGGCCCACCAAGGCGACGAUCAGUAGCUGGUCUGAGAGGACGAUCAGCCACACUGGGACUGAGACACGGCCCAGACUCCUACGGGAGGCAGCAGUGGGGAAUUUUGGACAAUGGGCGAAAGCCUGAUCCAGCAACGCCGCGUGUGUGAAGAAGGCCUUCGGGUUGUAAAGCACUUUUGUCCGGAAAGAAAUGGCUCUGGUUAAUACCUGGGGUCGAUGACGGUACCGGAAGAAUAAGGACCGGCUAACUACGUGCCAGCAGCCGCGGUAAUACGUAGGGUCCAAGCG
rnacentral:rRNA from 1 species